rnacentral:lncRNA from 1 species
CUGGUUUUAACAACUUUUUUAGGACUCAAGCCCAAAUUCUUGAACACUGAAAUGUGCAGGCUGCUGCAUGCCCCCCACUCUCCUAAAAUCUUUUAAAAGGAUGUCCUCUCUCUCUCUCUCUCUCUCUCUCUCUCUCUCUCUCUCUCUCUCUCUCUCUCUCUCUCUCCUCUCUCUCUCUCUCUCUCUCUCUCUCUCUCUCUCUCUCUCUCUCUCUCUCUCUCAUCGUGUUUACAGCCUCGGAGAGCGUUGCAUAUCUGACAUUUCUCUCUCAAACUCCAACCAGCUCUGUUCUCAUCCGAAAGCAGCAGAGAGAAGACAGAAAAGAGAAGAGGUCACUGUUUUGUCUUGUGUAACCGGGACUGAACCACUUCAGGCCACGCUGCUGAAAAAAACACCCAGACCUGAGCUCAUCUCCAGCUACCAGCAGCGGUUUGAUUCCCCUGAUUUCACCUCCUUCAAACCAGCCCGGACCAGCUCAGUCCAGCUCCGCUCGGUCCAAACAGGCCCCGCAGCCUGACCCAACUCUCUCCUCUCGUAAUCCAGCCAAUCAAAAAUCUAGCCAGCCCGCUGUCUCCAUGGAGCGCGUUCAGCACAUGACCAAGUCGGCCAUUCGCCGAGCGUCUCAGAUUGAGGUGAAUCCACAAGCCAAGAGGAACCUGCAGGAGCUGUUUGUCAACUUCACCCUCAUCCUCAUCUGCCUGCUCCUCAUUUACGUCAUCGUCCUGCUGAGCAGCUGAGAGCAGCCGAGCCAUACGCAGAGAGAGAGUUUGGCAUGGCCGUGCGGCUGCGGGCCAGGGUUUGGCUGAGAUAUGGGCUUUCUGAUUUCUUAUAAAGCAAUAAUAUUAGGGCUGCACCAUAUAUCGUUUUAAAUCAUCAUAGCAAUAUUAACUGGCGCAAUACAACACAUCGAGAAAGGCUGCAACACACAAGACGCUCUGAGAUUUGUUAUCAGUAGAAAACUGCACUUUAAAAGGUAACUGUCAUUUUAUAUUCCAUCCAAUGUUCAAUUUGUUCAAUACAAUGUUGGAAAUGUUGGAAAUGAUUUCCUUCCAUUUGUUUUAAAUUCAACAAGCAAUUUGUUGUAUUUUAGCAGAGACACUGAAAGCAGCAGAAAUGCAGAUCUGACUACACUUAGAUGUAAGUUUAUUUAUCCCAAGUAAUGUUGCUAUUACAACGUUAUCGUAUAUUUUCCUCAUAUCAUGCAGCCCUAAAUAAUAUCAACCCCAUACAUCGGCCUAACCCUGUUUGACCACAGCUGUAAAGAAGGAUCAUGGAGGUCAAAUGAAUCCAUGUGAAAACAAUAAUGGCCAAACCCUCUCAAAUUGUUUCUAUCAGAGCUGAUCAGGGAUCAGUUUCCCAGCCUCUCGCUCUCAAGGGAAUGAUCAACAGCUUAAACUUCACUCAUGUACUGUGUGUAUGUCAAUCGGCCUGCUGCUCAUUCAAAAAUAACACCCUGCCCAGUGAUUACAUUACAAUGUGUUGACUUAAGUUGAUUUACAAAGAAGACUGACUCCCUCCAUCCAAGGCACACUGUAGGACAUUGUCUCCUGCUUAAGUAUUAAUAGGUACAAUGUGUAUAAUACCGAAAUAUCAAUACAUCACUGUUUCAUUUCCGUUUCCCCAUAAACUCUGUCGCUUCCUGCAGCCCACCACCACCAGGAGAAAGAUAAACAUGCUGGAAAUGAAUUUUUUUUUCCAUUAGCAUUUUUAUGUCCUGUCCAGAGACAUGGCUGUACUGUCUGUGGCAUCAGGUUUCUGUAUUUAAAAACUUCUGCUGGCAUCUUGGCGGUUAUUAGAGCCUAAAAAUCCAAAAAUGUAGCCAAGAAAGCAACACACACUGUGGCUGACCCUGAUAGGCUAAGAAACCUGUCAAUGAAGUAAAGUCCCUUUCAUCAUCAGUAUGACAGAUGACCAACUGUGUAAUAUCUGCCAUGUCUGCAGCAUGUCUGAUAUUACACUUAAGUGGCCGUUUCUUGCCUGACAUAUAACACUUAUGAUACUUAGAGAUAAUUCUAAGUACUGUAGGCCUAUAAAGUAUGUGACGUAUAGACUGAGAGCAUAUUUAACCUUUAGGCAGCUUACCUGCAGGUGUUUCUGAUGGGCUACGUGAACAUUUCACUCAUAAUUUACUAUGUAAAGUAUGGACUAAACUUGGCUUGGGCUUCAGCGAUCAAUACACACACACACACACACACCACACACACACACACACACACACACACACACACACACACACACACACACACACACGCCUGACAUAUACACUAAAUGCAGUUUAUGAGUUGUGAAGAAGACUUCACUUUGCAUGGUGUGAAUUGACUUAAUGAAGUUUUCUGUUUAUGCCAUUUAAGUUCUGUUUAGAUAACAUAACUAUUAUUGACGAAUGCUGACAUUUUUACAGUGCGUGCCCUGAUGCUGGCAGUGACGGUGUUUAAAAAUAAACUGUAAAGUCAGAUGUGUAUUCCACAAGAAUCUAAUAUAUAUAUUUACAAAAAUAAAAAAAUAAAAAAAUUAUAAUUUAUCUUCAAUAUAUUGCCAUGACUGAAAAUGUAAAAAUAUGAAUUAUAUUUCAAUUUGGGAUUAAAAAAAUGAUUGAGAAGAAAUAGCAGUUUUUUUUUCCUUCUAUGUAUGCUUGGAAAUUGUACCACAUGACUUUCGAACUAUGGAACACCAAAGAAAUUGCAUGUCAAUAAAAUUUAAGUGGUUUCUCCUGCUACAAGUGUGGAUUAUUUUAUUUAUUGCACAUCCUAAUUUGACGUUUUUGAAAGAUAUGCAUUUAGAUGUAAGAAUCACUGAAGUCACUGAAAAAGCUUCAAAGGCUAAUUUGACCCGUCUAUGAGUGUGAAGGUUAAUAGAUUAUGCAGAUAACCACUGGUUUGCACAAUUAAAAUAAAAAUAUAAUAUAGGAACAAUAGUCUGAAGACGUGACACAACUUUUUCCAUUGUGUUAGGAGAGUAGGUUUGGUUCAAAGCUUACGUUUAAUGAGUCCUGGACAUCCUUACAGCUGCUAUUUUCAACAUUUCUAUACUAACAAUAGAAGAAAUGACUUAUGCUUAUAGCUUGUUUAUGCUGCCCCCAAGUGGCACAAAAUAGAACAUCAAUAUCAGAUAAAAAGUUAUUGGAAAAGUCCAUAAUCAUUUUCAAAAAUACCACUGUAGUUUUUUACAUGUUGUUUACAACUUUGAGACAUUAACUUUUUGGAAUAUUAUUUUCCACUGUAUUAGCUUCUCUGCCCUGUAUUAGCUUCUCUGCAUUGGCUUCCUGUAAAAUCCAGGAUUGAAUUUAAAAUCCUUCUCCUGACCUACAAAGCACUAAAUGGUCAAGCACCAUCAUACAUAGAAGAGCUCUUAGUACCUUAUUGUCCCACUAGGGCACUGCGCUCCCAGAACGCAGAGCUACUUGUGGUUCCUAGAGUCUCUAAAAGUAGAAUGGGAGCCAGAGCCUUCAGCUAUCAGGCUCCUCUCCUGUGGAACCAGCUCCCAACUUGGGUUCGGGGGGCUGACACCGUCGCCACAUUUAAGAAUAAACUGAAAACCAU